rnacentral:rRNA from 1 species
UACGUAGGGUGCAAGCGUUAAUCGGAAUUACUGGGCGUAAAGCGUGCGCAGGCGGUUUGGCAAGUCAGAGGUGAAAUCCCCGAGCUUAACUUGGGAACUGCCUUUGUGACUGCAUAGCUAGAGUGUGUCAGAGGGGGGUAGAAUUCCACGUGUAGCAGUGAAAUGCGUAGAGAUGUGGAGGAACACCGAUGGCGAAGGCAGCCCCCUGGGCUAACACUGACGCUCAUGCACGAAAGCGUGGGGAGCAAACAGG